CCUACGGGAGGCAGCAGUGGGGAAUAUUGGACAAUGGGGGCAACCCUGAUCCAGCCAUGCCGCGUGUGUGAAGAAGGCCCUCGGGUUGUAAAGCACUUUCAGUGAGGAAGAACGCCUGGUGGUUAAUACCCAUCAGGAAAGACAUCACUCACAGAAGAAGCACCGGCUAACUCCGUGCCAGCAGCCGCGGUAAUACGGAGGGUGCGAGCGUUAAUCGGAAUUACUGGGCGUAAAGCGCGCGUAGGUGGCUUGAUAAGCCGGUUGUGAAAGCCCCGGGCUCAACCUGGGAACGGCAUCCGGAACUGUCAAGCUAGGGUGCAGGAGAGGAAGGUAGAAUUCCCGGUGUAGCGGUGAAAUGCGUAGAGAUCGGGAGGAAUACCAGUGGCGAAGGCGGCCUUCUGGACUGACACUGACACUGAGGUGCGAAAGCGUGGGUAGCAAACAGGAUUAGAUACCCCUGUAGUC
rnacentral:rRNA from 1 species